rnacentral:rRNA from 1 species
CCUACGGGAGGCAGCAGUAGGGAAUCUUUCACAAUGGGCGAAAGCCUGAUGGAGCAACGCCGCGUGCAGGAUGAAGGCCUUCGGGUUGUAAACUGCUUUUAUAAGCGAGAAAUAUGAUGGUAACUUAUGAAUAAGGAUCGGCUAACUACGUGCCAGCAGCCGCGGUCAUACGUAGGAUCCGAGCAUUAUCCGGGGUGACUGGGUGUAAAGAGUUGCGUAGGUGGCAUAAUAAGUAGCUAGUGAAAUCUGGUGGCUCAACCAUUCAGACUAUUAGGUAAACUGUUAAGCUCGAGACCGUUAGGGGUAACUGGAAUUUCUAGUGUAGGAGUGAAAUCCGUAGAUAUUAGAAGGAACACCAAUAGCGUAGGCAGGUUGCUGGGACGGUUCUGACACUAAGGCACGAAAGCGUAGGGAGCAAACGGGAUUAGAUACCCCAGUAGUC